GAUCCCGCGCGGCUCUGUGGACGGACGGUUUCAUUGCCCUUAAACUUUAGCCGCUUCCAGAACCUAUGUUUGCCUGCAUGGACGCUGCGGAGCUACGGAAACUACAUUACCCACGAUUCUUUGAGCCGAGUGGCCAAAGGCUGGACCAAUGAACUCUGAGAAAGGCCUUUUUUGGUGCUCGGACCGCAAGCUGUGGGCAAGACUUCCUACAUCUCCGCCAAGCGGUCCUUGUAGCUGCCUUGGGGCUAUUUCUGGCUAUCAUUUGAUAAAAAGAGUGUGGAGUGGGAAACAAGGUGGGCAGAGAGGGUGUAGAUCUACGUCCCUAUCACUGGCCAUGAGGGAUGCUCGACCAUUUGCAGAGUAUGACGACGGCUGCCAAAGUGGUGCAACCUGCUUAAGAAAGUGUCGCCCUCCCCUCCCUCCACCCCCCCAACCCCCUUCCCCCCCCCCCCCCCGGCCUCACCACAGUCCUAGAUCUGCAAGAGGUUCGCGUCCCUACGGUAGAAAUCCCUGUGUCCAGAGCAGUUGCGAGCUUGUGAGUGGAAUCCCGAUGACUGUUGGCGGAUGUGACUGGAUGAGAGUGGGACCCGCAGAGGUCUAGUUGACAGGUGUGUGUGUGGUGUCUUGUCUGCGAGGUUGAGCAGGACCAUUUUUAGGCCUUCCAGUGGUGAGGUGAGGAAUUUUUUUUUACUUGUAUCUUUAUGGAUCUGGGACUGAGUGAGGCUCGGGAUGGGAGAACAUGGUUUACAAGACUCUCAAAGUAGCCUUGAGGACUUAACACUGAGGCUCCGGAAGGUUGAGUCUUUUGGGACUCAGCUUUGAGUGCUGAAGACUAGGGAUAUAUAAUCCAGCCGUAAUAAGGUCUCAUGGCUCCAGGGUUAUACAGGGAUUGAGGGGAGGAUGCUGAAACCCCUACCUACCAUGAUCCUUCACAACCUUCUUCCCGCUGACUCUCAUGACGACCAAAGCGCUUAUGGACUGUUCACAGGGAUAUGUGCCCUUUGAGGAUGUGGCCAGGUACUUCUGCCAGGAAGGAUGGGAGCUCCUGGGUGAAGCUCAGAGACUGCUGUAUCUCCAUAUGAUGCUGGAGAACUUUGUACUUAUAACCUCCCUGGAUUAUUGGCAUGAAUCAGAAUAUGAAGGAAAUCUUUCUGUACAAAGAGUUUGCAUAAAUGUCACAAGCCAGGACUCCAAAGAAAAGUCUCCUCACUGGGAAGACUCACUCCUGUGACAUCUGUGUUCCUGUCUUGACAGACAUUUUGCAUCUGGAUGGCCCACCUGAACAAAAACUAUUCUUUGUAGAAGCAUGUUCAAUCUUCCAGAGCCAAAAGCAUCACACUGCCAAGAAUCCAUUAAAGGGAGAUGUGGACAGAGACUUCCUUGUGAAAAACUGCACACUCCAUGUAUCAGGGGAUCCUUUCAUUUAUAGGAAAAUUAGAAAGGACUUCCCAGCUAGAUGGGAACUUCUCCAGUCCCAGAACAGUCCCAAAGAUAAUAAGCUAAGUGAAGUCACCAAGACUGCAGAGGCUAAUAGUAGAAAAUGUCCCUUUAAAUCCCAAGAAUUAGAGCUUCAGGUAAGUUUGGGUCCCCCUGGGACCACCCCCCAUCCUCACCCAUCACCCAUCCCCUCUAUAUUCUGGGGGCCCGCUCCUGGCAUCCAGAGGACUCACCCACACAGGAAAGGCAUCAGUCCUUCCAGACCCCAACCUCCGGCGUCCCCAGCUUCAGGUGAGCUCGGGUCCCCCUGGGACCAACCCACCCCCACCCAUCACCUACUCCCUCAAUCUCCCGGGGUCUGCUCCUGGCACCCAGAGGACCUGCCCACACAGGAAAGACACCAGUCCUUCCAGACCCCACCCUCCAGCAUCCCCAGCUUCAGCUU